rnacentral:lncRNA from 1 species
CGUCUCGACCCACUGCCCCAUCGAGUCUUUCAGUCGCGUGAUACGGUUUCUGGCUCUCCGCUGCUUCGUCUUCGCAUGGAAAUACUUAGUAUUUCUAUCUCCUGCUCGUAGCCAGAGGUUCCUACUUUUCUGUUUCCAGUACAGCUCCUCAUCUCUGUAGGCCGCACAUAGCUUCCAUUUUAUAUCCAGCUCUUCUUCACUUGAUAUCCUGUCA